GUGGGGAAUUUUGGACAAUGGGCGAAAGCCUGAUCCAGCCAUGCCGCGUGCAGGAUGAAGGCCUUCGGGUUGUAAACUGCUUUUGUACGGAACGAAAAGACUCUGGUUAAUACCUGGGGUCCAUGACGGUACCGUAAGAAUAAGCACCGGCUAACUACGUGCCAGCAGCCGCGGUAAUACGUAGGGUGCAAGCGUUAAUCGGAAUUACUGGGCGUAAAGCGUGCGCAGGCGGUUAUAUAAGACAGAUGUGAAAUCCCCGGGCUCAACCUGGGAACUGCAUUUGUGACUGUAUAGCUAGAGUACGGCAGAGGGGGAUGGAAUUCCGCGUGUAGCAGUGAAAUGCGUAGAGAUGUGGAGGAAUACCGAUGGCGAAGGCAGCCCCCUGGGAUAAUACUGACGCUCAUGCACGAAAGCGUGGGGAGCAAACAGGAUUAGAUACCCCUGUAGUCC
rnacentral:rRNA from 1 species